CGUCAGUUUUCUGAUAUUUCUAGAAGGUC
rnacentral:piRNA from 1 species